AUGAGGGGUGCUCUAGGUUUUCACGCAAGUACUAGAAACCACCAAAGUGGAAACUUGAGAUGUAAACAAAACAUACUUUCCAUAGAUGGAGCAAAGUCUGUAUCAAGGAAGAAACCAAUGUCAGAGGAUUCUGAGAGCAGCUCAAAUGGCUCAGGCCCUCUGUGCAUGCCAUGCUUAAUAAAGGCAAUAAAAAGCUCCGCGCUGCUGGGCCGUUUAUCUCUGCCACCACAACAGCCCGGGCCGCAAACAGGCGAGCCGUUCUCUGCCCGGCUCCUGGGCUCCCGCCGGGAGGGCACAAUUAAGACAGACCCUUGCCUUCUUGGCUGCCAAAGCAUUUCAGCUUCUGAAGAGCAUGGGAAGCAACGCCAUCAACCCCCCUGAGGAAAUAAAUAAAUAAAUUAAUUAAUUAAAUAAAUGCA
rnacentral:lncRNA from 1 species